CCUGCAUUUCUCAAAUGGUGAGGCUAGUUUCAAUCAUUGAAUUGUUAAAUUGUGGUGAUCAUUUGGAAAAUGAGUUCGUUCACGCAAAAUUUUGCUUUUGUUUCUUGGUGGCCUAACCUGUCACCUGUGUUACCCACUGCUGUCCCGUUGCCUCCUAUAAACGUGGUUAAAACAGAGCAAUCAAACGUCAAAUCAAGGAAAUGCUAGAAACAGCCUUGAGUUUGAGUAUUCAAUUCAACUGGCAUAUUUGGACCAACAUUGACAUGAUCAUAAAAAAAGACUAAUGUCCAGGAAGAAAUUAGCUUGGUGAGGAAACUCUUGUCAUGGAGAAAAGUUAUAUGUGGCUGUACUCGAGCCUCCAACAAAUGAACUCUUGCUGCAGUUUUAACCGAGACGGAAUUUGAAAAUCCCCUUCCUCAGCUAUACUAUCUGAGGCAGGUGACUCCCACAAUACAACUAUCAAGCAAGUAUAAGUCAACGACAAUUGUAAUCUGGAACUCGACGAACAAGUUGCUAGAGAGGAAUUUCAGACGAUCGUCAAUGUUUAGAAAGAAGAAGAUGACUGCUCAAUACAAUUAAAUCAAAGAAGGACAAUAUGUAAGCUCUGGUGGAAGCUAUGAAAGAGUUUGGCGUUGAAGUGGAUAACGAUUUAAUUUAACUAGCGUCAAAUCUGAACCCAAAGUAGAGCCAGAAGGUACAUCUAUCACCGGCACACCAAUAUCCAACGGAACUUACUCCACAAGACUGGCAUAAUUGUAGUGCGUACUGAAAUUAACUUGCGAAUCAUAGUUCUGAUGGAUUCACUUUCAAGGAGAAAAGCAGUCGACAGUCCUUAUAGGAGGAGAGACACUGUAAAUGUCAUUUGCUUAGCGAUUGAGAUUAGCGAAAGUCGUGGAUACCAUCUGUCAAUCAAUGCGUCUUGUCUACCGACCCGGAUCCCCCCUGUAUAUAUCGAUCCUCUCGAUCCUGGUUGCUUACAUCCGCCAAGUUUUUAUUGACACUAGCAAGCAAAAAGCUUCGCAACCAGAUUCUUUGCCAUUUGCAAUCGGAAUGAUCAGUUUGAGUAAGUCAACGUUUACUAGACAUUUCCAUGUAAACUUCUACGUUUGAUUUUGAAAGUGAUGAGGUAUUUCCACGCCAUUCGACCAAGGUUAAUCGAAAGUAAACAAUUCUAAGGCAUCAUGCCGAAGAUCUUUUGCCUUUCUCAUCCACGUGAUCGCUGCCGUGUCAUGAAGAUGCUUCUUUGAGAGGGUCUCUACUAUAUUGCAACCUGCAAGACAAAAAAGUGAUGAGAACAGGAAAUCUGAAUUGGUUAUAACGUUCGUACUUUUAAGACAAAUCAAGCAGAGUUCAACCUGCAGACGGGCCGGCCAGUUUGCAUGUCCUUCACGCUUGAAGGUCACGGUGAACAUUACGUGUAAAACUGUCAAUGCGACGGCGGAGAGGUUGGGUGAGAAAGGAGAGAGAAAAGGCCAGAGACAUUAGUCGAGUGAGCAUCUCCGACACGGUAACAACUGCAGCGCACUAUCUGUCACAAUCUGCCUUCUUCACCGUAUUGCCAGUUCGCAUCCAUGGGCGUCGUAUGCUGUUGGGUGUUGUAUCGUUGAUUGGUGGGUCGACCACUGGUGUAAUGAUGUCUCCUGGGUAUGGCGGAUACCAAACCGCGACGUUGCCGCCUUACUAACCAAAACUUACGCAACGACCAGUUACUGCACCGAGGUCUUAAAGUACUACACUACUAAGGCACCGGAGUUUUAUACCAUAACUUACGCUGCCCCGAGUUACUACACUUCCAAGGCGACGGAGCAUGACUACGCAUGCUGCCCCAUCCUACUACACCGAGGCUCCCAACUGCUACACCGAGGCUUCCGCUGAUUACUCCACCAAAACGGUCGAAUACGAACCCAAAGCGGUAAAGUACUACUCUGCCCCGAUCUACACAACCACAACUGAGGCGGCCAAGUAUUACGCAGUCCCGACUUACUACACAGAAGCUGCUCUUUCGUACUACGUUGAACAGAAAUACUACACUGAUCUUUCAGUUCACUACACCACGACUUACGCUACGGGAGACCUUUUACGCUGGAGUGGAUUACAGUUCAAACAGUGAUAAGCUGCUGUUGCAAAUUCAUGUCUCCGAUCCUGAUUUCGGCAUCAACGGCUCGCUCUCCUACUUUAUCCGAUCGUCCAACUUGUUUCACAUGGGCUCACAGAUUUCGUCAGGUUCAGUAGUGCCUUCACCAUUUCACGUAACCACCGACGGACGCCUUUUCACCGAAUCGCUCAUGGCCGAGUACAAUCAGGAUCGUUUUGUGCUUGAAGUAGUGGCGAGAGAGGAAGCUCCCCCAUUCCGAGAAGACACUGCCAACGUUCACCUGUGGGUCUACGAACCCAAUCAGCUGUCGAUGAUUGUCGUGGCCAAGCCUUUGGAACGGGCACUGAUAGAAAGAGAGCUGUUGGGUGACGAGCUACGUAACGCUACACAACUGCGGAUUGUCAUCGAUUAAAUGCGGCAUCACGUGGAAGACGACGGUUCUCUCAACAAGAACAAGACGGACGUCUACGUUCACGGUGUCGACCGUGGAGGCAAUAAAACCAUCGCACCAGUGUCCGAAGUAUUGCGUGCCAUCGAUUUGCCUUAUGACGUUUUACGUUCGUUUAACGACACUGCCAUCGUCAACGUCGUUUCUGCCACAGCCGCUCCCAGGAAGGCCCUACUAGAGCCGGCCAUAAUGGCCCUGAUAGCUCUCCUGGUCGUCCUUUUGGUUGGAUUCGUGAUGGUCAUUUUUACUUGCUGUUGCAUACGUAAUUGGGAUAUCGUGGCAACCAACAACCAGCACGAAUCAAGCAACAAGUCGGGCAGCUCCACUGUCAACAGAGAACUAAUGCUGUCGACGAUGCAUCGCCCCACCCCGCCUCUGUUUCGCAUUCACCCUCUGAAUUGCUCAACAGCACCGAAAAUCCUUUGUGGAUCGACAAAUACGUCAAACAUUACGAGGAACAAGAGUUGAGUAUGCGAGUGGCACCCGAUUUGGAGAGCCCAAUCCGAAUGGGAGGUGCUAGUAACAAUGCAAGUGGAGCGGAUCAAGCCAAUCCUUACGCCACGACCCAAAAACCGAGACGAGCUCUACCCUCCAUCCAUCUAGGAGAAGAAGUGGGCGAAUCCAGCGACUACGCUACUAUCGGGGGUAGUCCCAAUAACAAGUACCCUACAUCGAGAGAGACUCAAAUCAUUUUAGCGAGUCGAUCGAGCACUCCUCAUCUAAUGAUGAAUCAAAAUGGAGAACCGAUAUUGGUAGCCGAUUUGAUCUAAAGCGACCCCUUUUUAAAAUUAGAAUGCGCCUUUUUAAUUUGUUGACAAUGGCGACUAUGACACGACGAAAAUGAUAUUUGUACAUGUUUUUAGUAUUUCUCCUUCGAAUUCAUUUGUGUGACGAACUUGGUUUCAAAUCGUCGUCGUAAGUACACGCUCAAAAUUUAAGGUAUUUAAUGUUUGAAUAUAAUGGCGUUUGACAAUUUGAAAAAUGUCAAUUUAA